GCAGCCGCGGUAAUACGGAAGGUUCGGGCGUUAUCCGGAUUUAUUGGGUUUAAAGGGAGCGUAGGCCGGAGAUUAAGUGUGUUGUGAAAUGUAGACGCUCAACGUCUGACUUGCAGCGCAUACUGGUUUCCUUGAGUACGCACAACGUUGGCGGAAUUCGUCGUGUAGCGGUGAAAUGCUUAGAUAUGACGAAGAACUCCGAUUGCGAAGGCAGCUGACGGGAGCGCAACUGACGCUGAAGCUCGAAGGUGCGGGUAUCGAACAGGAUUAGAUACCCUGGUAGUCCGCACAGUAAACGAUGGAUGCCCGCUGUUGGUACCUGGUAUCAGCGGCUAAGCGAAAGCAUUAAGCAUCCCACCUGGGGAGUACGCCGGCAACGGUGAAACUCAAAGGAAUUGACGGGGGCCCGCACAAGCGGAGGAACAUGUGGUUUAAUUCGAUGAUACGCGAGGAACCUUACCCGGGCUUGAA
rnacentral:rRNA from 1 species